rnacentral:rRNA from 1 species
GACGAACGCUGGCGGCGUGCUUAACACAUGCAAGUCGAGCGGUAAGGCCCUUUCGGGGGUACACGAGCGGCGAACGGGUGAGUAACACGUGGGUGACCUGCCCUUAGCUCUGGGAUAAGCCUGGGAAACUGGGUCUAAUACCGGAUAUGACUCCAUGACGCAUGUUGUGGGGUGGAAAGCCUUGUGCGGCUAGGGAUGGGCCUGCGGCCUAUCAGCUUGUUGGUGGGGUGANGGCCUACCAAGGCGACGACGGGUAGCCGGCCUGAGGGGCGACCGGCCACACUGGGACUGAGACACGGCCCAGACUCCUACGGGAGGCAGCAGUGGGGAAUCUUGCGCAAUGGGCGAAAGCCUGACGCAGCGACGCCGCGUGGGGAUGACGGCCU